CAGGAUUAUCGCCGCCGUCAUCGGGGUUGUUAUCGACCUCCCUCUUCCCCCAACCGAGAUCCUAGGAGAUAAAUCAGAGUCCCGGCGACCUUUUUCCCAUAUAUUACCCUCUCACAAGCCCUGACCACCAAAUCAUCUACCGUCGGGUGCUAUCACCACCGCGAAAUCGAGAUUUAGAGAGCGGAGAUCCGUCGUUGGCGAGCUUGCAAAUCGCGGUUACCUAGGUCUUGGCGUGGUGUUCUGGUGCGGUGGCAUGGUGCCUAGGAGCCUCGACUGCCAUCAAUUCCGCCGCUGGACCGUUGAAGCUUGGGCGAUUGCUCGCCGGACUUGGGAAUUGUCGUUGUGCCGUGCUGCGUCGGGGACCGAGCUCAUCUCAAUCAAAUCACCGGUAAGCGCUGAUCCCCUAUGUUCACCUAAGACUCCGUUAGGUGUAGGUCCGCGCUGGUCAUGUAUAGGUCGUCAGUGGGCCGGUUGUGUGUGCGCCGACUAUGGCGUCAUCGCGAGCGCAGGGUGCGCCAUGGGUAGGCCUGCUCACGCUAAUCUAAUGCAGGUGGGCGGUCAACCUGUUUGCGAUGGUUGGAGCAUCAUUUGUGCGUAGUCGGAUUUGGGCCGUUUUCUCCGUCAUCGUCGACGACGCCGUCGGGGUGAUGCCUCGCACCGCCGUGCUAGUAGCUGAGGAGGAAGAGGGAGUCCUGACCAUGGAUCAUCUUGUGGAGGGCAGGGAUUAAUGGGUGGCGUGGUGCAUUGCGGGCCGUUGAUCCCCCUCUGGGUGGCUCAGAUUAGAAGGAUAGGUACCCCUCGCCACAUUCAGUCAACACCGGUGAUCUCGAUCCAACAGGUUGAAAUAGAUCUAGGGUAGAUAUUAUCCCCACCGAUGAUCUCUGUAACACCCUGAAAUCCUAUUCUAGGAUUUAGUAUAACUUUUCAAAUGAUCUAAACCAAGAUGUCUUUUAAUAGAAUAUUCUUACCUUUAAAAAAUAUUUUUUUCCUAUAACAAAUAAAUGGUAAUGUUAAUCUUUGAGUGUUCAAUUUUUUUGAAACUCAGAAAAUAAGUAAUGAAUUAAACCUUCAUUAAUUAUUGGUCUUUUUAUGAAUCGUGUAUUAUAGAAGCAAUUAUUUAAAUAAAAAAAAGUAAGUAAAUAAAACAUGUACUUACAUCACGUCGGGUCUUUGAGUUGUGCAUUUGGUGUGAAUUUAAAUAUUAAAACCCAGUUGAAUUUGAAAACUUUUAGUACGACACUGAACACAGGAAAUAAAGAAAAAUAGGAAUCUCUACUAACUAUUUUAAGGGCUCAGUGUAGACCGCCCCCGCCCCCGAAAACCACGCGCCCGCCUCCGCCUGCCCGUACGCCGGAAACCGCGGAGGCUGCACCGCGAACGCCGCGAACCGCCCAACAAACGCCCGCACGCCGCAAUCCCGCCACGGCCUAUGCAGCCGCCGCGACCUCCGCGAACCCCCCACGCAGCAAUCCCGCCGCGCCUACUAAAGCUGCAACCUCUGCGAAAGCCGCGAACGCCGCAAUCCCGCCGCGGCCUCUGCAGCCGCCGUGACCUCCGCGAACCGCCCGCCCGACCAUGCCAACAUCCUCAUCCGGUAGCCACCAACCAUAUCCCAUCGAAGGUUAUGCAUACCCCUGCCAUCUCCUCUUUCCCCUACAUUCCCACGCCCCCGUCGCUGGAGAGGAAAGCUUGCCCCUCUGUCGGAGAGGAAGUAAUUUUGUUGCGGUCGCCGGGGGCCUCGACCAAGGUAUGCCAUGCGUUCUCCUUCCAGAUUUGUUAAUCCUCCUCCCUAGAGCAGAUAAAUUCAUCUCAACAUAACAAUGGGGACGGGACCUUCUUUUGGAAAUAUACUUGGCUAGGGGAAAUUCCUUUAGAAAUUAAAUACCCAAGGUUCUAAUAUCUCUGCAAGGACAAGGAUAUUCUUGUCAUAGGGCUUCCUGAAAAUCUGAAAUGGUGUUGCGUCAUAUAUUUAAUUGUCUGACCAAAAAAACUUUGUGGUUCAUCCCUGGGAAGCAUACCUUGUUGUCUAUUUUCUCGCGUGUAGUAGCAGGAUGACUUGAUGCCAUGUCUUGAUUUGAGGGACUCUUAGCUUCCUUUCAUUGCUGGUUUGUACAUCUGACCGAUAUGAAAAUGGUGUAAGAGUGUUGGCGUGUGAGAAAUGUGUUUGAUCCUUGCAAAAUACAUGAUGGAUUCGAACGUGGUGGUACUUUAGAGAGUGGUUUUUUGUUUCUUAUUCUUCGAUACUGCAAUAUUCAGGAAUGGACACCAUUUACCCAACUAAUUAAUAAUAAAGCACCACAAUGCCACCAGGAUCACCGCCACUAGCCAUCUCAUGCAAGGUCAGAGAUUCAUGAUUUAGGUCAUAUAUCGUGAUAAGCUGCAACUUCUCAGAUAACCUUCGAAGAAUAUCUGCGUCAACACUCGCACUGCUGCUUGAAUUAUAGAGAGACAUCAGGUCAUUAAAAAGAUCAUCGUCACAUGAAUCCGAUCGUUCCUUAGCUCUUUUGAACUGAGUAUGCACCAAGUCAACCUGCAUAACAUUGAAGAUAUUAUGGUACACAAAAGAAGAAAAAACAUCAAAACAAUAGUAAUAUAAAAAACAAUAAUGAAAAUAGAAAUUUUGGAAUUUAGUAGUCUACCUGCUUGUUGGGACCAUGCUUCGUCGUCGAAGGUCCUGCAGAAAGAAACAGCUUCGGCUAAAGCUGCUUAUACGUGAUGCCGAAGCUACCACUCAUGAAGCUUCGGUGUUAUAACAUAUCCGAAGAUGAAGGAUCGAACCGACUUAAAGAUAGAAUGACCUUUUAGUUCAUAAGGGUCUGAGUCAUUGUUGUAAACUUUUAUAAGGGGCAUGAUUGUAAUUCCUUACAGACUGUGUCCUAUGCCUAUAAAUAGUGAACAAUAUUCCUUUACUGUUCAUGCAAUCCUGUAACUGCUAACGCAUUACUCUGGAAUUAUUGCUCUUUGUCAAGGCAAAGGUAUAAAUGUAAUCAAACAUCAUGUUUUAAUAUCUCAGUUUAUAUUGUAAAAUGAGUAAAUGAUGUUAUCCAUUCUUAAUAUUCUUUAACGUUUUAUACUUCAUAUUUUAUUUCGCAUUAUUUUACUUCUGACUAUGAAGGUAAGACCUUCGUAGUUCAUCAUCUAUGACCUUCGUCUGAAGCUCAUUAAAUCCUCAGGGAAAUAAUGCUUCAGCGGACGAAGGGCUUUGAUAUUUAACAUUUUAUGUUGCCUUGUUCUUAAUUCAUAGCAUUUGAGAACAAGUCCCCAACAUUGGCGCCCACCUCCGGUGAACUCACUUCCACUUUUUUGAGCUGAUAGCUUCGGCAAAGAAUCAAGAUGGAACUGCUUCGGCUCCGAAGCUGAUUCUCCCGAUAACAGGCGGUUCAUGCUCAGAGCCGACCAACAAGAAACAGAAGGAGGCACAGAGAAGAGUACAACACGUAGGGGUACAAGGACACUUCAUCAAAUCAAGAUGGUCUCACAUCCCAAUUACCUUUUCUCAAGAGGAUCUUCAGCUCAAGGAUUACCCACACAAUGAUGCUAUAAUUAUCUCUUGUGUGAUCAAAGGAUUUCUGGUCCAUAAUGUUUUGGUUGAUACAGGCAGUGCAGCUGAUAUCAUAUUUGCUAAGGCCUUCAGACAGAUGCAAGAGCCCGAAGACAAGAUCCAUGAUGCCACACAUCCCCUUUGUGGCUUCGGAGGAAGGCAAAUUGUAGCACUCGGAAAAAUCACAAUGCCAGUAACCUUCGGAUUUAUCAACAACACAAGGACUGAACAAGUUGUGUUCGAUAUUGUUGACAUGGAAUACGCUUACAAUGCAAUCAUUGGUCGUGGUACUCUCAAUGCCUUCGAAGCAAUUCUUCAUCCAGCAUAUCUUUGCAUGAAGAUACCUUCGGACCAAGGACACAUUGCCGUUCAUGGAAGUCAGGAAGCUGCCAGAAGGGCCGAAGGAAACUGGACAGAAUCAAAAGCAAUCCAUAACAUAGAUGGAGCUGAAGCUUGUGAGCAGUACAAGUUUAGAAGGGAGAAAGCUGCUUCGGCCGAUGAGCCGAAGCCCAUGCUCUUAUGUGAGGACAUAGCAGAGCAGAAGGUGCUAUUGGGAUCCCAACUGUCCGAAAAACAGGAGAAAACCUUGAUAAGGUUUCUGUUCAACAACAAAGAUGUUUUUGCAUGGUCAGCUAAUGAUCUUUACGGAGUCAACAGGGAUGUUAUUGAACACUCGCUCAAUGUUGAUCCAUCCUUUAGACCCAGAAAGCAGAGGCUUCGGAAGAUGUCUGAUGACAAGGUCGAAGGUGCUCGGAAUGAAGUGAAAAGACUCCUCAGUGCCGGAGUUAUCAGAGAGGUAAAAUACCCAGAAUGGCUGGCUAACACUGUUAUGGUAAAAAAGGCCAAUGGUAAAUGGAGAAUGUGUAUUGAUUUUACUGAUCUCAACAAGGCCUGUCCGAAGGACGAGUUUUCAUUGCCAAGGAUAGAUUCUCUAGUUGAUGCAGCAGCUUCAUCAGAGCUUAUGAGUCUGCUGGAUUGUUAUUCAGGCUAUCAUCAAAUUUGGAUGAAGAAGGAGGAUGAGCCAAAAACCAGCUUCAUAACCCCUAGUGGAACAUAUUGUUACCUUCGGAUGCCUGAGGGGCUCAAGAAUGCUGGAGGAAGCUUCAGCAGAAUGACAACGAAUGUUCUUCAUUCUCAGAUAGGCAGAAAUGUGCUAACUUAUGUUGAUGAUAUCAUUGUAAAAAGCACGAAGCAAGAUAAUCACAUUGCUGAUCUGCAGGAGACCUUCGCUAAUUUUAGACAGGCCGGUUUAAAGUUGAAUCCAGAAAAAUGUGUCUUUGGAGUGAAGAAAGGGAAAUUUCUUGGCUGCCUAGUUUCAACAAAAGGGAUUGAGGCUAAUCCAAAUAAAAUCGAAGCUAUCCUUCGAAUGGAACCACCAAGUACAAAGAAGGGGGCUCAAAGAUUGACAGGAAGACUGGCAUCUCUCAACAGAUUUAUAUCUAGAUCAGCAGAGAGAAAUUUACCAUUUUUCGAAGUGCUGAAGUGAGCCGAAGUUUUUCAAUGGGGACCAGUCCAGCAGAGAGCCUUCGAAGAGCUGAAGCAAUAUUUGAUAGACCUAACAACACUAACUCCACCAACGCCAGGGGCUCCUCUGUUGUUAUAUGUGGCAGCUUCGCACUCAGCGGUAAGUGCAGCACUUGUCCAGGAGAAGCUUGAAGGCCAAGUCAAAAAGCAAGCCCCAAUAUACUUUGUAUCCGAAGUUCUUAGUUUAUCAAAGAAAAAUUAUACAGAAUUGGAGAAGGUGCUGUAUGCUGUUUUGAUGGCCUCCAGGAAGCUUCGGCACUAUUUUCAAGCAUACAAUAUAGUUGUUCUUUCUUCACAACCGUUGAAGGAUAUUAUGAGAAAUAGAGAAGCUACUGGAAGGGUUGGAAAAUGGGCUGCGGAACUCAAUGAGUUUUGUAUUGAUUAUGUACAUAGAUCUUCGAUUCAGUCCCAAGCAUUGGCAGACUUCAUUGCUGACUGGACGCCAGGGGCUCAGGAAGAAGAAACAAGUAAAGAUGCCGAUGUUUGGACAGUAUUUUGCGAUGGAUCUUGGGGAACCUUCGGAGCAGGAGCAACUGCUGUGUUGGUCGCACCUUCCAAAGUUAAAACUUGUUAUGCAACAAGACUUGAUUUCAGUUGCACAAAUAACAUUACUGAGUACGAAGCUUUGCUCUUGGGUCUUCGGAAGUUAAAGGCGAUGGGAAUCAGAAGGGCGAUUCUUAAAACUGAUUCCCAGGUUAUUUCUGGUCAUAUUGACAAAAGUUAUAAAGCAAGAGAUCCGAAGCUUGAAAAAUAUUUAGACACGGUCUGAAGGAUUGAGGCUUCCUUUGAAGGGUUUUCUGUUAAAAAUAUUCCUCGUGGAGAAAAUGAAUAUGCUGAUUUAUUGGCUAAGUCAGCAGCACAGGGGCUGCCCUUACCUUCGGAAGUAUUUUUCGAAACAAUAAAAGCACCUUCGGUUGAACUUUUUGAAAGAGCAGUCCUCAACAUAUCCCCUGUCUAUAGUGAAGACUAGAGAACUGAGAUCAUCUAUUUCCUUCAGGGUAACUUUCUUUCAGAUGACGAAGCUUAUAACAGGAGGAUAGAGGCAAGAGCUCGACCAUAUGUUAUAAUAGAAGGUGAACUAUACAAGCGUGGGGUCUGUUCUCCGUUACUCAAGUGUUUAUCCAGAGCCGAAGGUAUAUAAUUGAUGAAGGAAAUACACGCAGGCCUGUGUGGAUCUCACAUUGGAUCUAGGCCUUUGCUUGGAAAAGUUUUUCGUCAAGGAUUUUAUUGGCCAAAGGCAGCUUCGGAUGCAGCGGAAUUAGUCCAAAAGUGCGAAGGUUGUCAAAAUGUGCAAGAGAUAAAAACAAACUUCAUCUUUAACUCAGUUAAUACAACCCACUUGGCUGUUGCAAAGGUGGGGCCUUGAUUUGUUAGGUCUGUUACCACCAGCACAAGGGAACUUAAGAUAUGUUGUAGUGGCAGUGGAAUAUUUUUCUAAAUGGAUUAAGGCAAAGCCUUUAGCCACAAUAACUUCGGUCACUAUUCAAAAGUUUUUCUGGCAAAAUAUUGUUUGUCGCUUCGGAGUGCCGAAGGAUAUUACUGUGGAUAAUGGGACGCAGUUUGAUUCCGAAGCUUUUAGAGAAUUUUGCGAUCAAAUUGGCACGAAGAUCCAUUUCGCAUCAGUUCGACAUCCGGAGUCAAAUGGACUUGUUGAAAGAGCUAAUGGCAUCAUAAUGACAGGAAUAAUGAAGUUAAUCUUCAAUCAGCCCAGGGGAAAGUGGCCAGACGAAUUAAUCAAAGUGGUGUGGAGCCACAACACAACAAUAUCAAGAUCAACAGGCUUUACACCAUUCAAACUAUUGUUUGGUGACGAAGCAAUAACUCCGGAAGAAGCCAAAGAAGGAUCAAUAAGAAUAGUAGCUUCGGCAGAAGACGAAGCUGAAGCUGAUUACUCUGUGGAAAAAGAUGCUAUAGAGGGGAUCAGGCUUCAAGCUGUGGAAAACAUCAACAAAUACCAAGCUGAAACAAUAAAAUGGCGUGAUAGAAAGGUUAGGCUAAAAAACAUUGAACCAGGACAUUUGGUGCUUCGAAGAGUAGCCAACCCAGAGACAGUAGGCAAAUCACAGCUGAAGUGGGAAGGACCUUUUCUGGUAGUAUCUUCGUCAAGACCCGGUUCCUACAGAUUGAAGGAUAUGGACGGCAACGAAAUUCCUAGAUCAUGGAAUGCGGACGAGCUUCGGCGAUAUUAUGUUUAGCUUGAUGUAGUUUUUUCUAUUCUUUCUUGUGGCACCCUUUUCCUUUCCAAAGGGGGAGAAAGGUUUUUAAUGGGGCCACAACAUGUAAUUUUUCUUUUCCUUAUUUAAAUUUUAUAAGAGCGAUAUCCCCCAAAGAUGUAAAUGUAAAAGCUGAGAACGCACCAUCGAGUGCAAAGGAAAGAGAAAAGAAAACAGGGAGAAGCUCAAAAGUCGUUCCUAAGGGAAUGCAGAGCUUACAGCGAAAAAUGAACGCUGAUUCCGCCGAAAGUAAAAGGCGAAGAAGCUCCUAAGGGAGGCUUACAGCGAAAAAUAAACGCUGAUUCCACCGAAAGUAAAAGGCGAAGAAGCUCCUAAGGGAGGCUUACAGCGAAAAGUCAGCGCUGAUACACCAAAAAGUAAACGGUGAAGCCAAAAAAUAAACGACAAAAAGAUUUGAGUCAUUCCCAAGGGAAUGAAGGCUAUGAUUAUGGUUUUGAAUAUACAUUCGGAUAUUCAUUUGCACGAUACAUUACAUCAUGACAUUUGCAUUCAUAAACAUUCAUUUAGACAUAUAUAUGAUCAUUAUCAUCAUACCACACAAAAAAGGCAGAUGCUUCGGCUAUGAGGAAAAAACUUCGGAGAAAGAGGAAAUUUUCAUGCUUCGUUGUGUACGAAAAGAAGGGAAGGUGUUUUUCGCCUUCGACUCAAAAGUGAAAUUUCGUUCACAGCAAAGCAGAUCGUACACGGAUAAAGGAGAAAAGAUAUAUUACAAGGUAUGCACAAAUUUACAUAAGUUUUUUCUACAAUUAUAUUACAAAGAUUUCUCCAGAAUUUUUUUGUAGAAAAGUCUUUUACAGCAACUGGCUUCAGCCCGUCAUUCUUCAGCUUCAUCAUCCUGUACAUAUUGAAAAAGAAUGAGAAAGGUGCAAAUUUCAAGGAGAAGGUAAAAGUAACAAGUAUAAGUUUCUCACCGGCUUAAGGUGGCUCCGAGCUUCGUCACCAGCCAUUUUUCGCCCGCCGUUUACCUAAAUCUGGGUCAUAAAUCUGUUUCCUAUGCUUCAGGCUAGGCUUGGGAUGUCAACCGACAAGCUGAAGUUUGGCCUAUUUACAAUCUUCCCAUGCGUGCAGCCGGCCUUCAGGAAAGUGGUAGCCGUGCCUCGAGAAGCUAACAGGGCGCAGAAAUCAGCAUGCCCAACAAUAACUUCGUCAAGUGCAUCAACCUCGCCUUCAAUGUAUUCCUAGGUGCUGGGCAGGUUUUCAGCCGAAGGUGUAAACUUAUCAGAGCUGGCUCCAAUUGAGUGAAACACAUCCUUCAGCCGCUGCACACAUCGGUUGUCGAAAUUUAAGCAUUUCUCCUGAAGCUCCUUCAAUGAUUGUUGCAAAUUUGAAUUCUUCUCGAUCUCGGUCUUGAGACUUGUUUCGAGGUUCUUCUUUUCCUGCUCAGAUUUUUCUGACUUUUUGAGUAAUUCACUGUUUAAUCUGUCAUUUUCGGCUUGGACCUCAGCCAGUGAACCUUCCAUAGAAUGAAUAACGAAGUCUUUCUUUUCUAAGGCAGCUUCGUGUUCUUUAACUAUGAUUUCAAGGUCUUGAAUGACGAAGUCCUUUUUCUUCAGAGCAGCUUCGUAAUUUUCGACUUUGUCUUCUAGAUCUUUGAUGAUAGCUUUGUUUUUUUCCUCUUCAAGAUCUUGUUGCAUUCUCAGCACUUUACUUAGUAGUAUACUCUGCCAAAACAACCUUCAUAAAAAAACAACUUAAUUUUUUUUAAAAAGAUAAUAAUAAUAAAUUGAGAGUUUUUUACCUUGAAAUUAGCAUAGAGCAAGCUACCGACGAUAUGCUGUCGCUGGUACCUGCAGAGGUCUGCUUCUAUCUUCGGCAGGCCAACGCUUUUGGAGAAGGUCCUAACAACCUUGGCCUCGGUUCGAUUCCGAAGGCAUCUUAGCUUUCCUUCAUUUACCCCACCAAAUAGCAGAGACCCUGGUUUGUAUCCACAGGAUAUAGCAUAUUUCUUUAGCUCUUCUUUUUCAGCGUCUGUUAACUCUUGUCUAAGUAUAUCUUGAAAAUUAAAAUUUUCUUCUUCCAAAAUGUCUUCAAUCUGCUCUUUUCCUUUUUCAGUUGUCGUGUUCACCGCAACCACAACAACUUCUUCAGCCAUUCUCAAAAGUAUAUUGUCAAUAUCAUCAAGCGUGGUUUCCAGGUUAGGAUCUUCGGUGGUCCCGGUUUCGGCUCCGGUAGCUUCGGCCCCGGUGGCUUCGGCUCCGGUAGCUUCGGCUCCGGCGGUUUCGGCUCCAGUGGUUUCGGCUCCGGUGGUUUCGGCAACAACAAUUUUUGACGCCGAUAUCGGUGGCGGUGUCUGAUGAAUGACAUCUGCCACUUGGAUAAUUCUUCGUUUUUUCGGCUUUACGGGACUUUCUGCUGCCGAAGCUUCUUUGUCCUUCUGAAAAAACUUCGUCAGUUCUGGCGCCAGCGGACUUAGCUUGACAGGCAAAGGUUCAGUCAUUACCUUCAGAAUCUCUUCCACUUCGGCAGCAGAAGGUGUUGCAGGAGCUUCCUCCUCUCGGACCGAUGUCUUUGGUUUUGGAGAUGCAGGUUUUGGAGAUACAGCUUUUCUUUUCCUUGGAGCAGCUACCUUCGGCUCAGGGCUGAGUUUUUCAGAAAUUUCUUUUUCCUUUUUAGCCAAUUUGGUGCUUUCUUUGUCAAGGGCGCUGGCAAUUCUUUUUCUCUUUAAACCUUCGGCAUCUCCGCCCAGUUGCUCAUAAUCAGGAUAGUCAAAAUUCAAGGCAUCUAGCACCCGAUUCAAUCUUUGUUUCGGACGACUGCCGAAGGCUGCUGUCAUCAACUGAUCUUCUUUCUUAGAAUAAUUACCGAGGAUAUCGUUGCACAUAAUCUCGAUUGUGUCCAACCAUUCCUGGCAGGGUUUUUUAAAGUGUUUCUUAAACUUGUAGUAAUAAGGCAAUCGAACAAGUUCUCCCUUUUUCUUUUCUCCCUCCAGCUUCGGCAUCUCCCACUCCCUCAUUGUUGGGAACACUUUAAAAGCCAGAAAUUCCUGCACUAAGUCUCUAGUGCCAAUAUGUUCUGAAAUUACUCGAAAUUCACCCAAAGCAAUCUGGCUCGGGCUCCCCCUUAUCAUGUUGCAUUGGGGCCUCGUCUCUCCGAAGGUUAGCUCUAGCGGACUCUGGACCAAUUUAUCUUCAUCCUUAACAACUUUAACAUAAAACCAUUCAGACUUCCAUCCGACCGGCCAUUUGCUUCGGUAGCUUAUCACUGGAAACUUCGUAGUCUUGCGAUAAGCAAAGUUGUAGCAGCCAAAAUUCUCAUGUAGACCAUCUCCUCUGGCUUUAGUCUCGUAAUGUAAUUCAUGAACUCGGCAGAAACCCUCACCGAACGGUUCCACUCCCUGGCUACGAAGAGCCCAAAUGUAAACACUUAAUCUAACAAUAGCAUUGGGGGUCAGUUGAUGAAGGUAAAUCCCAAACUUCUUCAGUACAAUAGCAAUCAUCCCAUUUAGGGGGAACCUUAGGCCAGCUUUAAAGAAGCUUUUGAACACUACAACCUCAUUCUUUUCCGGCUUCGGAAUAGUUCCCUCUCCGCCAAAACGAACCAGCUCCUUUUUUGCUUCACUGAAGUAGCCCAGCUUCACCAUUUUUGGAAGAUCAGCUUCAGAGAUGGUGGACUUUCCAAAGUCCAAAUGACUAGGUUUACUUGGCAUCCCGCAGAUGUACUCAUCUUCGGAACCAACUUCUUCAACAUCAGCUUGUGUUGCUUCGGCAGCAGGUGUGUCCUCUGAUGAAACCAGCCCAGAGCGCCUCAUUGCUUCGGAAAUCGGAACAGUGUUAGCGGCUUCGGUCUCAUCUCCAUCACGCUCAACCCUAGCAGUGGAGCGUAUUCUGGCCAUUUGAUUUUAAAUUUUCUUGAAAAUUCCUUGGAAGUUAAUAACCUUUUUUCCGAAGCUCUUCUCGUGACGAAGCACAAUCCAAACUGGAGCUUCGUUUGAAUGCAAAAGUCAAGCUUCGGCUAUGGUUAAAUUUUUGGCAGCGAAACAGUGCAAUAGCAAUGAAUGCUGUGGUAACUUCACACCUACCUGUCUGUUUAUAUAGUGCUGCAGGUAAGAAGGUGAAUCGUCAGGAUUUUUACACCGGGCAAACAGUCGCUCGCACCCACUGCACGGUGGGCCGCAAAAACCAAGAAAGUGAACCUGCAUGGUGGGACCGCUCCGCGCUCGGAAACUGUAUCGUUUCUCGGCAACGAGCUCAGGGAAGGUGUUUUUCGGACCUUCGGCUUCCCGAAGCUUAAGAGACUUUUUUCACGGAUCAAGCUCGUAACGAAAAACGAUCUAGCACCGCGAAGGGGCUACUGUUGGGACCAUGCUUCGUCGCCGAAGGUCCUGCAGAAAGAAAUAGCUUCGGCUAAAGCUGCUUAUACGUGAUGCCGAAGCUACCACUCAUGAAGCUUCGGUGUUAUAGCAUAUCCGAAGACGAAGGAUCGAACCGACUUAAAGGUAGAAUGACCUUUUAGUUCAUAAGGGUCUGAGUCAUUGUUGUAAACUUUUAUAAGGGGCAUGAUUGUAAUUCCUUACAGACUGUGUCCUGUGCCUAUAAAUAGUGAACAAUAUUCCUUUACUGUUCACGCAAUCCUGUAACUGCUAACGCAUUACUCUGGAAUUAUUGCUCUUUGUCAAGGCAAAGGUAUAAAUGUAAUCAAACAUCAUGUUUUAAUAUCUGAGUUUAUAUUGUAAAAUGAGUAAAUGAUGUUAUCCAUUCUUAAUAUUCUUUAACGUUUUAUACUUCAUAUUUUAUUUCGCAUUAUUUUACUUCUGACUAUGAAGGUAAGACCUUCGUAGUUCAUCAUCUGUGACCUUCGUCUGAAGCUCAUUAAAUCCUCAGGGAAAUAAUGCUUCAGCGGACGAAGGGCUUUGAUAUUUAACAUUUUAUGUUGCCUUGUUCUUAAUUCAUAGCAUUUGAGAACAAGUCCCCAACACUGCUCUCUUACUUCAUGUGAUAACUAGGUAAAUACACGUGCGUUGCAACGGGAAAAAUAUUGCAAAAAUAACAUAUGUAUAGCCAUGUGUUGUGAUGUUAAUUAAGAUUAAGCUGCCUUUAAAACUUUGUAGAGAAAAUUGGUUGUAACCAUGAAGGGUAGGAAUUGUUGAUGUUCUUGAUCCUAAUCGUGCUUCAGACUUACUUGUCGGGUUCAUCUGUAAAGUCAAAAUUAUAGACCAAAAUCAGGCGAAAAGACCAGUUGAAUGAAAAUUUCCUUUUCCCACUAAACUGCAUAUUUGUCCUGACCUUUAACUAUCCAUUGCUUUAAUCUUUAUAUGAGGAUAGUCAUCCAAAGUUUGUCUAUUAAAAAAAAUUCAUUGCUAUAAACUUCUCACCGCGCUUGUGUCCAAGGAUCUCAGAUGCCCUAUUUACAAUUACCUGAAUUCGGAAAAUAGAUCAUAAACAAUAUAGCACAGCUGGUAGAAACAUGCUAGGUUCACAAUAAAAUUCACAUGAACAUUAGCUUACAUGAAAACUAAAUACUAUUUUGCAUAGAGAUUAGAGAAUUAGAGAUAAUCAGCAGAGUGGAGCACAAAUGGAGGUUGGUUUAGUUUACCAUGUGUUUGGACACUGAAGCUUAACUUUUCACACUUUAGCAGGGACUACCAUUCCAAACAACAGCUAUACUACUUUAAAAUUGACGUUUUUAUGGAAGAUUUGAAGUAAAAAUAUUGGAUGUGUAGGACACCAACCUCAUUGGCAUUCAUGUUGCUUUGUGUGCCACUGCCAGUUUGCCAGAUAACAAGUGAGAAGUGAUCAUCCAACUUUCCCUCUGCGACCUCCUCAACUGCCUGUAUUAUGGCCUUCCCUAUUGUUGGAUCAUGUGAAUUUUUAUGGCAUUCUUGUGUUUAUGUGGUACAUACGUGUAAUAUAUCUGUGCAUUCUUGAUUCCACUUGUAAUUUCUGGAAUUUUCUCCUUAUCUGAUCUAUCAUUGCUGUCAGCGUGCAUAUUAAAUACACGAUACCUGUUUAAGAGACUACUUGUGUUUAUGUGGUACCUGUGGUGGAGGAUCUGGUUAGUCAGUGAUGCUGGUGGGCUGUGUUAUAUAGGUGUCUGGACAAGCAGCAACAGUUUCUGUGAUGACUGACUGGUGUGCCUUUUAUGGCUGCAGAUUCCUCGACUGGCAGGUACUUUCCUUUUUUUUACCCUAUUGGCUGUAUGAGUUCAUUGUUUUUGUUAUUUCUCUUUUUAUUAGUUCAUUUCCACGCUAGCUAUAGGUGCCUCAUCACAUUGUGCUAUUUAUUCGAUGUUUGCUUCUUUGAAAAAUGCCCUAGCUUACCUGAGCUUCCAAGUCGUAUGGAGAUAUAAACAUAACUGCCAUUAUUUAGUUCUAUCGUUCUGUUACUUACUUGUAUUCUAAUGUCAGCGUGCAUAUUACAUAAGUUUUCUCCUUAUCUGAUCUAUAAUUGACACACUAAUUAGUAAUUAGUAUAAUAUUCCAAACUUGUGUAUAUUUCAGGUAUUUAUUGGGGUAGUGUAAAGUUUAUAUGCAUACUUCCUGUAUAUAGAGGUUGAUGCUAUUUAUCUAAUGAUAGUGGGAAGACUUAGCUAAUAGUAUGAUUUGUGUACGGUUCCGUAAUUAGUGUGUUUAUGGCUAAGGUUGUCAAGAUAAUCAUGUGUCUCCAGACCUUCAAUCCUGACCUCACUGGAAUUAACAAGACGUAGCAUGUCACUCAUGGAAAUUCACCUGAGGGAGUAGUUUGAUAGUGAGGUAUACAGAACGAUGUGCAGGGCAAAUAAUGCCUGACCUGAUGUCAUAAACAGAAAGAUAUGUGUGAUAAGCAAAUGAGAAACUGAAUGGCUUGCCAUUAACAUUCCUGAUGCGUGAUAUCAAUGACAAGUCCCCAUCCUUUGAAAGAGAGGCUCUCAGACGGAACUCAAAACUGCAACCAAAUUACAGUCAUACAUGAGGACAUUCAUAUGAAUAAACUUUACCGAGUCUGCAUUUUUGUGACUUAAGCAUGAGAAGGCGUCUAGGUCCAUAAAAAAUGUUAAGCAUGUAAAUACUGAUCAGCAAUAAAAACGAACCAUCCAGCUAAGCAACUACAUCCUUGUUUAGAUUUCCUUUUAUAGUGAAAAAACAUUGAAAUGCCAUAAGAUGAAGUAGUAGUGAUUACACAUAUCCAAAUCCAAGGCCCUCCUUACAGAUGAACCCGAAAAAAUGUAUGCAUCCUUGUUAAUCCCCACAAUUUUAUUCUAAGGAUUUAAUUUUCACAUGUGAUCCUUUGAAAACAUCUCAGGAAAAUAUUACCAAAAUCUUGCUUCCAGAAAGUAAUAACAUCAGAAAACCCAACUUCAGUCAUUAGACGAUACACCUCAAUGGCACAAUACUUAACAUAGAUUUGACAUUAACCCUCAUUUAGUUGUAACAUAAAGUACUGUUAUGGACAGGGAAGUUAAUAUUGAAACAAAUAGGUGCUGAUCUAUGUGAGUUACUUCACUGCAUAUCAACAAGAUAACUCAUGGAUACAAAACUGAAUGUCGCUUCCUGUUUCUAAGUCGCAGAAGGUUAAAUCAGCGUAAAGACAAUAGCAGUACUAGCAUAUGCUUUUGUAGCUUCUCCUGAUACCACCACUAAAAGCUUGCAUAUCUCCUUUAUAUCCUCUGCUUGGACAGUGUCUGCUAAAAGGGGCCUGAAGUAGGAUGGCACAAAACCAUCAGUAGCAAACAGGUACGGUAGGCAUUCCAUGAAACUAUUAUAUAGCUGAUGGAUAGUUACUUAUAGGUGAAGGGGCUCAGAGUUGGAGGAGGUGCAGACUGGCUUAUUGGAAUUGAACCAUCAGGCACAUUUCCAACCUCUGUUCCACUAUCGCUUUCAGGUUUACCAUAAUGAACUCUGUCAUGAAAUUGUUUCAAAAUAAUAAGAUUAAAUAGCAUUGCACACUGCUUCCCAGUCCUACUCGUUCAAAUACCAACUACUAUGAAUGUUCAUUUAACAGUUCAUAUACUCUUCUUGCUUGAUCUAACAUCAGACUUUGCACUGUCAUGCAUGAAUGGCUGCAUACUAGGACACCAAGAAAGUGCCCUUUCCUAACUACCCAUUUAUCAUCCCAAUUUGGCACAAGUUCCAUCAGUGCUCCAAUUCCCAUGUCCUCUUGUGGUCUAGGAAGUUCAAUGGGGUGGUCAGGCUCCCAAGUUAGCUCACUAUCCCAUUUUGGCCCUGUGUCCCACUUUGGUUCACAGUCCCAAAUAGGUCCUGGGUAUGAUAUUGUUGAGGAAAUGUGUUCCUUAUCGUGCAUUGAUGGGGCUGCCCAAGACGACCGUGUGUCAUUAGUAGACGUUAUACCAACUGAAUUUCUAUCAGCCCUUGCUUUGGACUUGGUUCUUGGCCAGAAUGAUCCAUGACAUGGUUGAGGGUGUAGCACUUCUUCAGGUUCUGAAACAAUGUUAUUUCUUCCCAGAGACAAGUGUUUUGCUUUCUGAUCGAGACCAUGUACAUAGUCUGAUGGUUCAGUGCUUGCCACUGUACUACCUGAUGUAUCAACAUCCCCAAGCGACAUCCGUCUCAGAGUCAUAAUAUAAUCAAUACUGGACAAACUGGAGGCUCUUGAAUUCCUUCUUUCUUUGAUAUACUAUGCAUCACAUCGGUAUAGACAUUGGACAGGUGGGCCUUGUCUUGACCUGUACCUUUUCCAUUCAUGGCCAUCUCCUUCGACGAAGGAAGAUAUUCCAGUUCAUAGAAGUAACUAGGCAAACAUAAAAAUUUUAGUAUUCCAGCCACAAAAUAUCGAUGUGGACCAAAUUUCUUCUGAUAUUUCUCAGAAAGUUCUAGGACUGCAACACAGUAGUAAGAAAUGUUUCAGCUUCUCAAUGUCCACUGUGCAAACAUUGGAACUUAGAUCUUGAAAGCGAAUACACUCACAUAAAUAAUUUUAAUUAUUUAUUUCUCUGAGCAUGGCCAGUUCAAAUAAAUAGUUUUAAUUAAUUAUUCAUCACAAAAUACGAAUGCACUCAGAUCUUGAAAAGCAUGAAGAAUACUCACAUGUAUUAAUGCUAUACAAUUCCUUUAUAAAACUUCAUCUCAUGCAAUAAAUAAAAUAAAGCUAAUAUUUGUAACAGGCUUAACAAUAUGCAUGUUGCCAAAUCACAUAUUUAUUUAAGAUUUGGAAUUUGGAUGACAUUGUAAAUCAGCAGAAAUGUAGUUGCAAACGUGCAACAUAUUUCAAAUUAAAAGUGCAACUAAAGAACGGAUUUCUCUCUCGCAACUUAGUGUCCAGACUCUGGCAAAGUCAACUAAUUCUAGGUGAUCCGUGAAGAAUUCCCAGAAUCUUUUCAAACUUAAGUCUCAAAGUGUUAAUGGUUUCAUCUAAAACAGUUUGCGACAGAACUUCGUCCUCAGCUAAAUCAGCAGGUGCUAGAUCUUUGCAGAUAUUCAGAACCUUCAUUUGCUUUGAAAUCCCUUGCCUCAGUUUUUCUUUGUGCUUUAGCAAUGUUUUUCUCUCCUCCCCAUGAUAUCUAGCUUCCCCCAUCAACUGUGAAACCAACAUAUUGGCUGAAUGAUUUUCCACAGCAUACUUUUGGCAUUCAGUGAAAAGAGCGGCCUUCUUGUCUUGCUCAUCUGUACUAAUAGAAGCAUUUACAUUUUUCUGUUGUUCCUGUUCAAGCACCUCCUCCAUAUAAUGGUUUUUCUCUUGCAGAGAAUAAAUUUGUUUCUCAUAGCUGUUUGCUUGCAGUUGAUGUGACUUUGCUAACACUUCAAAUUCCUCAUUCUUAAUUCUCAACUGAUCCUGUAGUUCCCUUACUUGAUCAUAUGCAAAAUCCUUCUCUCUUAUACAGAGGAGUGCAUCUGUUCCAGAUUGGUGUGCAUACCUUCUAGAAGUAAGAAGCAUUAUAUCUAUCUUUUAGCGCUUAGGGUAUUGUGUUUGUUUAUUAGUCAUACUAUGCUGUGGUUCAGGAAUAAAUAUGUCAUCUAUAUCAAAGAAUUCCAUGUUUUUUGUUCUUGUUUUGCAGUUCGCAUUGAUCUUCGGUCCAACAGUCAUUUUGCCCCCAAAAGAGUCGACAUAUAUUUUCUACUCGUUGAGGUUUGUUGCUACUUCUUUCCUUUUAAAGUAUGCUUCUUUCCCUCCCAAAUAUAUCAACUUCUAUCGAUUCAGUCAUUUUUUAAGUUUUGCUUGGUGAUAUAAUAUUGGUGCUCCUUUAAUGAAUGGUCAAAUGUGUUUGUUUUUAGUCAUACUAUGAUGAAAUGUUGGACUAAAUUGGCAUGUGUUUAUAUUAAAAAAUUAAUUAUAAUAUUCUUUUAUGCGAGAGAAAUACAUGCUAGGAACCAAACAAUCACUAAUGCAAGUGGAUCUCCACGGCCCAACCUAGCCAAAAAAUGAGUUGAUGCAUUUCUCUGCUGAAUUUCUACAACUGUGUAAAAAGUAAUUUAAUCUAAGUAGAGACAAUAUUUAGAAACACUUGAUUGGUCGCGUACUAAUUGACACAGUAAUUAGUAUAAUAUUCCAAACUUGUGUGUAUUUUGGGUAUUUAUUGGGGUAGUGUAAAGUUUAUAUGCAUGCUUCCUGUAUAUAGAGGUUGAUGCUAUUUAACUAAUGAUAGUGGGAAGGCUUAGCUAAUAGUAUGAUUUGUGUUCGGUGAGUUGCAUCCGUUCACAAUUCUCUUUCUCACAUGCUUCUCUUCCUUCUUUUUUGGAUCUGCCAUUAAAUACAAGAACAAACACCAUUUACUGCUCAAAUAGAAAACACCAUCUAACUAACAAAUUUCUGCAUAAUAUACAGCAGAAUACAUAUGGGACCUUUUUAAAUCUAGCACAGAUAAAUGAGAGAUGCAAAAGGGAAAAUUCACAUGUCAGCAUGCUUACCAAUACGGCCUAUCUUCAUGCCAGAUCGAGCAAGAGCUCUAAGAGCAGACUGAGCACCAGGGCCAGGGGUUUUGGUCUUGUUUCCACCAGUAGCACAGAGCUUACGACAUGUUUGGUUUGCAGGUUGGACUGCUUUCGGAGUCAUCCGGACCUACGUCCGAGCCUACAUUAUCAUUUGGUUUGAAUCGCGGAACGAUGUCGUCCGUCACUAUGUUGUUCUAAUAAUAUACUAACACUUGGGAUCAGCUCACUCCGCAAGAAAGUGCAAGACCACUCCAUCCGGAGCCAGACCACGAUGGAUGAGCCAAACCAUCAAACCAAACACGCUAUUAAUGUGCAAUGCAGUAAUUCCAAGCUCCUGCAAAGAGAGAAUAAGAAACUGAACUAACUUACCGAUAACAAAUGUAUUUUUCCACAGUAAGACAAUACCUUGCAUCUUUGCGCGACAUCUUGUGAGGCAAGCAUAGCAGCAUAAGGCGAUGACUCAUCACGAUCAGCUUUAACCUUCAUGCCACCUAGACAGUGCAAAAAAUUGUCGAAUUCUCAUAAAAAGAAAGUCCUGGGUGCCUAGGAAAAAAACUUGCAACUUAAAAGAGUCCGGUAGACGCCGUACUUGUGCACCAACAGGGCUAUACAAAUCCUUCAGACGCAAUCAUGCAUGCCAUCCACCUCUCCAUGAGCUGCAGACUCAUGAACUACAAGCCUUAAUCACAGUCACACCUAUAGUCCAAAAUAAGUGCUCAACCAACCAACCCACACUGCUCCUACGUCGUGCUAUAUCAAUGCACUGGACCAUUUUACAAUUUAGUUUUAAAUAUUUUCAAAUGAUAAAAGGUUUUGAUGGAGCCAGCCGUAUUGAACCGUGAAAGAGUUGCAUUGGACAAGAAAAAAAGGAUGCCUAUGUAAGUUAUAUUAUAAACAAUAGUUAACACAAUAGCUAUCACAUUUAUGAACGUUAUUUAGUCGCAUGUUUAAUAUAGCUUCAGGUUGUUCGACGACUAUAGCGAUGAAGAUUUUUAUGGGCUACAACGGAAGUAUAGUAUUGUCGCUCGAGUUGAAGUUAAAUUCCCGAUGGAACCACGUUAUCGUGACAGGCAACAUUACAUUUUGUCUGACAUCAAUGUAAGACAACAUAUCUUUAAGUUUCAUUUAUAUAACUAUAUAUAAUAUUCAUACCACACUCUCUUUUGUGCUGAAAUCAAAUUAGGGAGCCAAGAUCGAGGCCAUUGCAACUCGGUAUGAGAUAGUCAAAUACUUCAACAGUUUGCUCCAUGAAAAGCAUGUCUACAAGAUGCACAACGUAGUGUUUGGUCUUAAUCCGGGUGCAUUUAAUUUUCGACAUCUAAAUGGUACCAUGGAGUUGUAUUUCACCCAACAAACUGUCGUAGAGCCAUACGCUGUCCCAGUUCAAAUGCCGCCAUUUCCAAAACAUAUAUUCUUGAACCUUGAUGAUAUUGCCGAGUUGCCAAACAGGACUUUAGUUGGUAAGAAUAUGUCGAUCUACUAACCAUAUUAAAAAUUCCUUUACACAAAAUUCAGCAUUAAUCCAUAUUUCAUUGUGAUUUUGUAGACAUUAUGGCUAUUGUAGUCCACUUGGAUACAAUCCAUCACACAAUGUGGGGUAUAUUCAGGAAGAUUGUUAUAAUGGAUGCUAGGUAUAUUCCAUUAAUAUUACCGAUAUGAUGUUAAAUCUAUUAGUACUAAUCUAUUCUUCACAAAAUCAAUGUCAUAAGGUGGUCUUUACAUACCAUUAAAGUUUGGGCUGACGAAGCAGGGGCUGCGACCAGCGCGCUGGACGUUGCUGGGGGCCGCCUGAUGCUGGCGGCGACUGCUGGCUGGGGCAGCGACAGAGCUCAUGAUCGUCGAGAUCUUUGAUACCAGAUUGGUAGGAGCCACGUUCCCUAUACUGACGAUAUGUUUCCGUUGCAACGCACGGGCACCCACCUAGUAAAAAAAUGAAGGAGAAACCAGCGCCUGGUCCAACUCUCCUCACUUCAGCCUUGCUUCGUGGCCACACAGUGUCCCGGCCAUGCGCGUCGGGUGGGUGUGCACUGCGAGCGCAGGCGCCUAGCCAUGCGCUUGUACCCAUGUUGGCUUGACGUGGAGCCGGUAUCAGCCGUUUGGAUCCCAGCUCUCGUGUUCGUUCGCUCGAUCAUUGGAGCGUGGGGCCGUGCUGUCAGUCAUCGUUCACAGGAGAUCGUUCACCGUCGUGUGGGACCUCGAUGAUAGGCUCACGUUCUGGUGCAACUUCUCGCCGCGAACCCGGGGCUGGUGCAACAGUUUUUUAAGAACUCCCAUAACCACUGGGUUUGUUGGGAUAUGAUCCUAGGACCCCGGUAGGAUCUGCCUACCCCAAGUAUAUAUAGUCCAGUACCCUGCAUCCUUGAUCCAUUGAAGCAGAGCUUGCCGACGGUGUCGCUGCUCGCCGGGAAGAGAGAAUCGUGUAGACACCACGACGAUUCUGCCAUCGCUUGGUCUUCGGUGUGCAACGGUGAUGUGUCUACGACACUCAGUGGGGUUGCGCAGCAGUGAGCACAAAAGCCAGCCCACCUCGCCGGAGUCCAUGGUUUGUCGCCAUCCUGCAUCGGCCGGGGAUGGUGCUCUGGUCGUAUUUGCUUUUGUAUACUCUCCGAGCUGUGUGUAGUAUCCUUCGGCUUGGACACUCACAUGAUUAACUUAUGGAACUAAAAUUCAAUUUGUCAUAUGCAUUGCAUCGCAGGUGUUGUUAUAACUUUUGUUCUACUACUUAAUUGGGUUGGUAUCUACUUAUACUUAGUAAUUGCUAAUAAAAUUUUGACCAACUUUAAAAAGCAAUGCUCAACUUUAACCAUCCUCUUUGGUAAGACUUACACUUCACAUGAGCUCCCACCUUUGACAAGUUCAUGCACAUUAUUUCCCAUAACUUGUUGAGCGAUGAACGUAUGUGAGCUCACUCUUGUUGUCUCACACCCUCCCACAAGUCAAGAACAGGUACCGCAAGAUGAGGCGCAUGGAGGAUGCUAUGACGAGUUCGUGAGAGGUCUAGACCAUCGUCUCCCAGUCAACUUGGGUUGCUGGAUUGUUGUCUCCUUAUGAUGUAAUUAUUUAUUUAUUUUGUAUAGAACUCUUAUUAUAUAGUAAAG
rnacentral:lncRNA from 1 species